rnacentral:rRNA from 1 species
UACGUAGGGUGCAAGCGUUAAUCGGAAUUACUGGGCGUAAAGCGUGCGCAGGCGGUUUUGUAAGUUUGUCGUGAAAUCCCCGGGCUCAACCUGGGAAUGGCGAUGGAGACUGCAAGGCUUGAAUCUGGCAGAGGGGGGUAGAAUUCCACGUAUAGCAGUGAAAUGCGUAGAGAUGUGGAGGAACACCGAUGGCGAAGGCAGCCCCCUGGGUUAACACUGACGCUCAGGCACGAAAGCGUGGGGAGCAAACAGG